UACGAAGGGUGCAAGCGUUGCUCGGAAUCAUUGGGCGUAAAGCGAGCGCAGGUGGUUUUUUAAGUCAGGAGUGAAAGCCCAGGGCUCAACCCUGGAAGUGCUUUUGAUACUGGAAAACUUGAGUGUGGGAGAGGGUGCUAGAAUUCCUGGUGUAGUGGUGAAAUACGUAGAUAUCAGGAGGAACACCGGUGGCGAAGGCGGGCACCUGGCCCAACACUGACACUUAGGCUCGAAAGCGUGGGGAUCAAACAGG
rnacentral:rRNA from 1 species